UACGAAGGAUGCAAGCGUUAUCCGGAUUCAUUGGGCUUAAAGGGCGCGUAGGCGGUCUUGUAAGUCAGUGGUGAAAUCUCGAGGCUUAACCUCGAAAUUGCCAUUGAUACUGCAGGACUUGAGUACAGUUGCCGUUGGCGGAAUAUGACAUGUAGUGGUGAAAUACAUAGAGAUGUCAUAGAACACCGAUUGCGAAGGCAGCUAACGAAACUGUAACUGACGCUGAGGCUCGAAAGUGUGGGGAUCAAACAGG
rnacentral:rRNA from 1 species